rnacentral:rRNA from 1 species
GUGGGGAAUAUUGCGCAAUGGGGGAAACCCUGACGCAGCGACGCCGCGUGAGCGAAGAAGGCCUUAGGGUUGUAAAGCUCUGUUUUAAGGGACGAAUGUCGUGGGGAGUAAUAUGCUCUGCGAAUGACGGUACCUUAAGAGGAAGCCCCGGCUAACUACGUGCCAGCAGCCGCGGUAAGACGUAGGGGGCGAGCGUUGUCCGGAAUUACUGGGCGUAAAGAGCACGUAGGCGGGAACUUAAGUCAGGUGUGAAAGACCGGGGCUCAACUCCGGGGUUGCACUUGAAACUGGGUUUCUUGAGGGCAGGAGAGGAAAGCAGAAUUCCUGGUGUAGCGGUGAAAUGCGUAGAAAUCAGGAGGAAUACCAGUGGCGAAGGCGGCUUUCUGGACUGACCCUGACGCUGAGGUGCGAAAGCGUGGGUAGCAAACAGGAUUAGAUACCCCAGUAGUCC